rnacentral:rRNA from 1 species
UACAGAGGUCCCAAGCGUUGUUCGGAAUUACUGGGCGUAAAGGGCUCGUAGGCGGCCAACUAAGUCAUACGUGAAAUCCCUCGGCUUAACCGGGGAACUGCGUCUGAUACUGGAUGGCUUGAGAUUGGGAGAGGGAUGCGGAAUUCCAGGUGUAGCGGUGAAAUGCGUAGAUAUCUGGAGGAACACCGGUGGCGAAGGCGGCAUCCUGGACCAACACUGACGCUGAGGAGCGAAAGCCAGGGGAGCAAACGGG